GAGCUGCAAGGCCGGUGGUGCAGCCGGGCUGGGCUGGGCGCGUCUGCCCUCUCCCAUUCGGCGGGACCUGGGCUCCGUGCGGGGUGGUCUGUGAGGGGUACGGGGCUUCUGUGCUGCGCCCUGCCGUUCCCGCGCGGCUCCCGCCGGCUCGCCGCUGCCUCCUUCCCUCCCAGGCGCGCACGAGCGCGCCGUGGCUGCUCCCUGCUGGCACCACCACAAGCUCGCGGCGGACCGGCAGCUGGGAGGCACGGCCCCUUCCCGCCACUGCCAGCAGGGGGCACUGCUGUCCCUGUGGCAAAAGUUUGGCCCCCGCAGCCCCUGCCCCGCGGCCGGGCCCUCGGCUCCAGCUCCGCCAGGCGCAGGGCCCCCCCGCGGAAUCUGGGCUUGGUGCAGCUGCCGGAACGCAGCCCUGUCCAGCCAGGAGGGGGCAGGCUGACUCGCUCGGCUUUGCCCGGAGGUCUGGCCUGUGUGGUUGCAAGGCUGUGGGCUGCUGAACAAAGGGUAGAGCUGCCUUCGGGGGUCACGGUCGCCAAGAGCCUCCCAGGGCGGAAAACGGCUUCCCAAGGGUCUCUAAUUAGGGGUUUCUGCCCGCCAUCCCCCCAACUACCCAUGUCUCCUGCCCCAUCUCCCCCACCCCCCACCGCCACCGCCUCCUACUCUGCUCUCCCUACCCCACCUCCCUACCCCUCCCCAUCUCUCCCCAACUUCAUCUCCCCCAACUUCCAGUCUCCCCCAUCUCCUCCGUGCCCCCCAUCUCCCCACCUCCACCACCAUACCUCUUUUCCCCUCCCCUUCUCUCGGGAAGCCCAUCUCCCCGAACAUCCAGUCUCCCCCCGCCCCGGCUCUCCCAUUUCCGCCCCCAUCUCCCCCAACAUCCAGCCUCCCCCCGCCCCGGCGCUCCCAUUACCGCCCCCAUCUCCCCCCCUCGCCACCCCCGGCCGCCUGCGCUGGCCUUUAGGGACCGCGCGGCCGUGUCGUUGCCGGGGAACGGGCGUCCGCCCCCGCGGCUCCUCAGAACGCGGGCGUCACCAGUGCGCUUUCUACCCUGCGGCCGCGCCUCCCCCGCGCAUGAGGGAAGCGGUGUUCGCAGUGCCCCAGCCGGCGCGCAAGCUGCUGGGCACAGGCCGUCCCCGGGCCGGGAACAAAUCGCCGUGCGGUGCGCUCCCGCGCUCCCAAGCUGCGGGGCAAACUCAGGAGGGGGAGCGUUAG
rnacentral:lncRNA from 1 species